CUACGGGCUGCACCAGUGGGGAAUUUUGGACAAUGGACGCAAGUCUGAUCCAGCCAUUCCGCGUGCAGGACGAAGGCCUUCGGGUUGUAAACUGCUUUUGUACAGAACGAAAAGGUUUCUAUUAAUACUAGGGGCUCAUGACGGUACUGUAAGAAUAAGCACCGGCUAACUACGUGCCAGCAGCCGCGGUAAUACGUAGGGUGCAAGCGUUAAUCGGAAUUACUGGGCGUAAAGCGUGCGCAGGCGGUGAUGUAAGACAGAUGUGAAAUCCCCGGGCUCAACCUGGGAACUGCAUUUGUGACUGCAUAGCUGGAGUGCGGCAGAGGGGGAUGGAAUUCCGCGUGUAGCCGUGAAAUGCGUAGAUAUGCGGAGGAACACCGAUGGCGAAGGCAAUCCCCUGGGCCUGCACUGACGCUCAUGCACGAAAGCGUGGGGAGCAAACAGGAUUAGAUACCCCUGUAGUC
rnacentral:rRNA from 1 species